GUAGGUGCAAGCGUUGUCCGGAAUUAUUGGGCGUAAAGCGCGCGCAGGCGGUCCUUUAAGUCUGAUGUGAAAGCCCACGGCUCAACCGUGGAGGGUCAUUGGAAACUGGGGGACUUGAGUACAGAAGAGGAAAGCGGAAUUCCAAGUGUAGCGGUGAAAUGCGUAGAGAUUUGGAGGAACACCAGUGGCGAAGGCGGCUUUCUGGUCUGUAACUGACGCUGAGGCGCGAAAGCGUGGGGAGCAAACAGGAUUAGAUACCCUGGUAGUCCACGCCGUAAACGAUGAGUGCUAAGUGUUAGGGGGUUUCCGCCCCCUUAGUGCUGCAGCUAACGCAUUAAGCACUCCGCCUGGGGAGUACGGCCGCAAGGCUG
rnacentral:rRNA from 1 species